AGAGUUUGAUUCUGGCUCACGGAUGAACGCUAGCUACAGGCUUAACACGAUGCAAGUCGAGGGGCAUCAUGAAGUUUGCUUGCAAACUUGAUGGCGACCGGCGCACGGGUGAGUAACGCGUAUCCAACCUUCCCGUAUAGUAGUGGAUAGCCCGGCGAAAGUCGGAGUUAAUACACGUAUGUUAUUCAAUGAGGACAUCUGAGCUGAAUCAAAGGCUUGCCGCUAUAGGAUGGGGAUGCGUCUGAUUAGAUAGUAGGCGGGGUAACGGCCCACCUAGUCGACGAUCAGUAGGGGUUCUGAGAGGAAGGUCCCCCACAUUGGAACUGAGACACGGUCCAAACUCCUACGGGAGGCAGCAGUGAGGAAUAUUGGUCAAUGGGCGAGAGCCUGAACCAGCCAAAGUAGCGUGCAGGAUGACGGCCCUAUGGGUUGUAAACUGCUUUUAUACGGGGAUAAAGUGAGGGACGUGUCCCUUUUUGUAGGUACCGUAUGAAUAAGGACCGGCUAAUUCCGUGCCAGCCGCCGC
rnacentral:rRNA from 1 species